rnacentral:lncRNA from 1 species
UAGGUUAUUAUAAGAGAUAGAGUAAUAUGUAUGCACGUGCCUUAACCGUAUAUUAGAAAGUUAAACCGGGUAAAUCUUGUAAUAGCCAUCAAUAUCAUUUGUUUGCCGGGAUUAAAAUGUUUAGUGCCUCCAAAUAAACCGGUAUUUAGAACAUGAAUGUGUAUUAAAACAGGAUAGUAAAUCAUAACUUCGAGUUGAGUUAUAAUAAAAAAUGAAGUAAUAUGUACACAUGAUUUUUAACCUGAAAUUACAAAGUAUUACAGAUAAAUUAAUGGACAUUAAACCUCAUAAAAAGGCUUCUUAGAGGCUAAAAUCAAUAACUGAAAAAAUCAAACAUGGUCUCCACCAUGACUGUUAUGAAACAACCUUAGUCGAGCUUAAACUUGGAUCUGCACGGGAAUGAUGUUACAAUCAAAACUAUGGGUAUUCAAAUUCGAA